CCUACGGGGGGCAGCAGUCGAGAAUCAUUCACAAUGGGGGAAACCCUGAUGGUGCGACGCCGCGUGGGGGAAUGAAGGUCUUCGGAUUGUAAACCCCUGUCAUGUGGGAGCAAAUUAAAAAGAUAGUACCACAAGAGGAAGAGACGGCUAACUCUGUGCCAGCAGCCGCGGUAAUACAGAGGUCUCAAGCGUUGUUCGGAAUCACUGGGCGGAAAGCGUGCGUAGGCUGUUUCGUAAGUCGUGUGUGAAAGGCGCGGGCUCAACCCGCGGACGGCACAUGAUACUGCGAGACUAGAGUAAUGGAGGGGGAACCGGAAUUCUCGGUGUAGCAGUGAAAUGCGUAGAUAUCGAGAGGAACACUCGUGGCGAAGGCGGGUUCCUGGACAUUAACUGACGCUGAGGCACGAAGGCCAGGGGAGCGAAAGGGAUUAGAUACCCCGGUAGUC
rnacentral:rRNA from 1 species